rnacentral:rRNA from 1 species
UACGAAGGGGGCUAGCGUUGUUCGGAUUUACUGGGCGUAAAGCGCACGUAGGCGGGUCGUUAAGUCAGGGGUGAAAUCCCGGAGCUCAACUCCGGAACUGCCUUUGAUACUGGCGACCUUGAGGCUGGAAGAGGUUAGUGGAAUUCCCAGUGUAGAGGUGAAAUUCGUAGAUAUUAGGAAGAACACCAGUGGCGAAGGCGGCUCACUGGCCCGGUACUGACGCUGAGGCGCGAAAGCGUGGGGAGCAAACAGG